AAGCUCAAAUUUGAAAUCUGGCGCCUUCGGUGUCCGAGUUGUAAUUUGAAGAUUGUAACCUUGGGGUUGGCUCUUGUCUAUGUUUCUUGGAACAGGACGUCACAGAGGGUGAGAAUCCCGUGCGAUGAGAUGCCCAAUUCUAUGUAAGGUGCUUUCGAAGAGUCNAGUUGUUUGGGAAUGCAGCUCUAAGUGGGUGGUAAAUUCCAUCUAAAGCUAAAUAUUGGCGAGAGACCGAUAGCGAACAAGUACAGUGAUGGAAAGAUGAAAAGAACUUUGAAAAGAGAGUGAAAAAGUACGUGAAAUUGUUGAAAGGGAAGGGUUUGAGAUCAGACUCGAUAUUUUGUGAGCCUUGCCUUCGUGGCGGGGUGACCCGCAGCUUAUCGGGCCAGCAUCGGUUUGGGCGGUAGGAUAAUGGCGUAGGAAUGUGACUUUACUUCGGUGAAGUGUUAUAGCCUGCGUUGAUGCUGCCUGCCUAGACCGAGGACUGCGAUUUUAUCAAGGAUGCUGGCAUAAUGAUCCCAAACCGCC
rnacentral:rRNA from 1 species